CAGCACUAAAACAUUUUUAGGCCAAAUAUUGCAGAAUGAAAGAAGUUUAGACAAAAAUGUCAAGAUUUGCAAGUUUAAUCGCAACGGCUCCAUCCCUCUGGGGGGCAGGACGGGAGGGGCAGCUGCAGCGUGCGGUGUGAGACGAGGGGAGGAUAUCACCUCGGAACAGGACAACCACACCCAAGCUCACGCAGGAGCUGAACAAAACUCGGAUGCACAGCCGAGUUUAGAGCCAGCACAUCAAAGAAUCAGGGAGCAAAGCAGUGAAAGUCUCACCAGGUCAAAGAAGCUGCGGACCACCUGCCUCUGCUUCAGGUUGGUCUCCCCGUCCAGCGUGGCCGUCUCGAUGUGGCACAGACG